GAUGAACGCUGGCGGCGUGCCUAAUACAUGCAAGUCGAGCGAAUGGAUUAAGAGCUUGCUCUUAUGAAGUUAGCGGCGGACGGGUGAGUAACACGUGGGUAACCUGCCCAUAAGACUGGGAUAACUCCGGGAAACCGGGGCUAAUACCGGAUAACAUUUUGAACCGCAUGGUUCGAAAUUGAAAGGCGGCUACGGCUGUCACUUAUGGAUGGACCCGCGUCGCAUUAGCUAGUUGGUGAGGUAACGGCUCACCAAGGCAACGAUGCGUAGCCGACCGGAGAGGGUGAUCGGCCACACGGGGACUGAGACACGGCCCAGACUCCUACGGGAGGCAGCAGUAGGGAAUCUUCCGCAAUGGACGAAAGUCUGACGGAGCAACGCCGCGUGAGUGAUGAAGGCUUUCGGGUCGUAAAACUCUGUUGUUAGGGAAGAACAAGUGCUAGUUGAAUAAGCUGACACCUUGACGGUACCUAACCAGAAAGCCACGGCUAACUACGUGCCAGCCGCCGCGGUAA
rnacentral:rRNA from 1 species